AUUGAACGCUGGCGGCAGGCCUAACACAUGCAAGUCGAGCGGAUGAUGGGAGCUUGCUCCUUGAUUCAGCGGCGGACGGGUGAGUAAUGCCUAGGAAUCUGCCUGGUAGUGGGGGACAACGUUUCGAAAGGAACGCUAAUACCGCAUACGUCCUACGGGAGAAAGCAGGGGACCUUCGGGCCUUGCGCUAUCAGAUGAGCCUAGGUCGGAUUAGCUUGUUGGUGAGGUAAAGGCUCACCAAGGCGACGAUCCGUAACUGGUCUGAGAGGAUGAUCAGUCACACUGGAACUGAGACACGGUCCAGACUCCUACGGGAGGCAGCAGUGGGGAAUAUUGGACAAUGGGCGAAAGCCUGAUCCAGCCAUGCCGCGUGUGUGAAGAAGGUCUUCGGAUUGUAAAGCACUUUAAGUUGGGAGGAAGGGUUGUAGAUUAAUACUCUGCAAUUUUGACGUUACCGACAGAAUAAGCACCGGCUAACUCUGUGCCAGCAGCCGCAGUAAUAC
rnacentral:rRNA from 1 species